UGAGGAAUCUUGCGCAAUGGGCGCAAGCCUGACGGAGCAAUGCCGCGUGUGGGAUGAAGCGUCUCUGACGUGUAAACCACUGUCAGGGGUUAGAAACAAUGAUCAACCCCAAAGGAAGUGGCGACUAACUCUGUGCCAGCAGUCGCGGUAAUACAGAGGCCACAAGCGUUAGUCGGAAUCACUGGGCUUAAAGGGUGCGUAGGCUGGUCCGCAAGCGUCUUGUGAAAGCCCUCGGCUCAACCGAGGAACAGCAGGGCGAACUGCGGAUCUUGAGGCAGGUAGGGGUCGCGAGAACAGUAGGUGGAGCGGUCAAAUGCGUAGAUAUCUACUGGAAUGCCGAUGGUGAAGACGCGCGACUGGGCCUGUCCUGACGCUGAGGCACGAAAGCGUGGGGAGCAAACAGGAUUAGAUACCCAUGUAGUCCCUGAGCGGGCUGGCAAGGCGCAU
rnacentral:rRNA from 1 species